rnacentral:rRNA from 1 species
CGCGUAGGCGGUUUGUUUAGUUAGGCGUGAAAUUCCUGGGCUUAACCUGGGGACUGCGCUUAAUACAGGCAGACUUGAGUUCGGAAGAGGGUCGUGGAAUUCCCAAUGUAGAGGUGAAAUUCGUAGAUAUUGGGAAGAACACCGGUGGCGAAGGCGGCGACCUGGUCCGAUACUGACGCUGAGGCGCGAAAGCGUGGGGAGCAAACA